rnacentral:rRNA from 1 species
AUUGAACGCUGGCGGCAGGCCUAACACAUGCAAGUCGAACGAGUGGCGGACGGGUGAGAAAUGUCUGGGAAACUGCCUGAUGGAGGGGGAUAACUACUGGAACCGGUAGCUAAUACCGCAAACCAUCGGAUGUGCCCAGAUGGGAUUGGCUAGUAGGUGGGGUAAAGGCUCACCUAGGCGACGAUCCCUAGCUGGUCUGAGAGGAUGAACAGCCACACUGGAACUGAGACACGGUCCAGACACCUGCGGGAGGCGGCAGUGGGGAAGAUGGCAUAAUGGGCACAGGCCGGAUGCAGGCAGGCCGGGUGUAUGAAGAAGGCCUUCGGGUUGUAGGGUACUUUCAUCGGGGAGGCGUUACCCGCAGAAGAAGCGCCGGCUAACUACGUGCCAGCAGCCGCGGUAAUUC